UUAGGGGGUUUCCGCCCCUUAGUGCUGCAGCUAACGCAUUAAGCACUCCGCCUGGGGAGUACGACCGCAAGGUUGAAACUCAAAGGAAUUGACGGGGGCCCGCACAAGCGGUGGAGCAUGUGGUUUAAUUCGAAGCAACGCGAAGAACCUUACCAGGUCUUGACAUCCUUUGACCACUCUGGAGACAGAGCUUUCCCUUCGGGGACAAAGUGACAGGUGGUGCAUGGUUGUCGUCAGCUCGUGUCGUGAGAUGUUGGGUUAAGUCCCGCAACGAGCGCAACCCUUGAUUUUAGUUGCCAGCAUUUAGUUGGGCACUCUAAAGUGACUGCCGGUGCAAGCCGGAGGAAGGUGGGGAUGACGUCAAAUCAUCAUGCCCCUUAUGACCUGGGCUACACACGUGCUACAAUGGAUAGUACAAAGGGUCGCGAAGCCGCGAGGUGGAGCUAAUCCCAUAAAACUAUUCUCAGUUCGGAUUGUAGGCUGCAACUCGCCUACAUGAAGCCGGAAUCGCUAGU
rnacentral:rRNA from 1 species